GACGAACGCUGGCGGCGUGCUUAACACAUGCAAGUCGAACGGAAAGGCCCUGCUUUUGUGGGGUGCUCGAGUGGCGAACGGGUGUGUAACACGUGAGUAACCUGCCCUUGACUUUGGGAUAUCUUCAGGAAACUGGGGCUAAUACCGGAUAGGAGCUCCUGCUGCAUGGGGGGGGUUGGAAAGUUUCGGCGGUUGUGGAUGGACUCGCGGCUUAUCAGCUUGUUGGUGGAGUAGUGGCUUACCAAGCCUUAGACGGGUAGCCGGCCUGAGAGCUGGACCAGCGACCUUGGUACUAAGAGAGGGAGCAGUCGGGUACGGGAGGCAAUGGGCGGAAAUAUUGCACAAUGGGGGGAAGUGUGAUGAGAAGACGCCGGGAGCGGGAAGACGGCCUUCGGGUUGUAAACCGCUUUCGCCUGAGACGUAGCGUGAGUGACGGUAAUGGGUAAAGAAGCACCGGCUAACUACGUG
rnacentral:rRNA from 1 species